UACGUAGGGGGCGAGCGUUGUCCGGAUUUAUUGGGCGUAAAGAGCGUGUAGGCGGUUCGGUAAGUCUGUCGUGAAAUCCUGAGGCUCAACCUCGGGCGUGCGAUGGAUACUGCCGGGCUAGAGGGUGGUAGAGGCGAGUGGAAUUCCCGGUGUAGCGGUGAAAUGCGCAGAUAUCGGUAAGAACACCUGAGGCGAAGGCGGCUAUCUGGCGAUGCAUUGACGCUGAGGCGCGAAAGCGUGGGGAGCAAACAGG
rnacentral:rRNA from 1 species